GAGAUGAAGAGAGAAGAAUUAGGAAAAAUGAUCCUUGUCUCAAGCAUUGUUUGUGUAACGUUGCUGCUGUUGUCGGCUAUGAUCAAGAUGUUUGAAAAGCUAUGGUGGAAACCGAGUCGCAUACGGAAGCUGAUGGCUCUGCAGGGGAUCAAAGGCCCUUCUUACAGACUUAUCCAUGGAAACACCAUAGAAAUCUCCAACAUGAAAAGGGAAGCAAUGAGCAGGCCCAUGAGCUUAUUACAUGACAGCUUUCCUCAAGUUCAACCUCACAUUCACUUGUGGACCAAGUUAUAUGGUAAAGAAACCCUUCCCUUCAUGCAUCUUCAACUACUGUAAUUGUUUGAUAAACAACCAAAGAUCAAUUGUCAAACCUCAAGUCUGUUCAUGAUUGACAGGAUGAUUCGUUUCAAACUUGGUCAAUAUUUGUAUCUCAUAUUGCUGUUUGUUUGGUGCAAUUAUUUUUGUAUUUUGAAAUUGCUUCUGUAUCAACAAACUUGCUACACUUUGGAAACAGGGAAGAAUUAUCUUCAAUGGCAUGGCUCCAAACCUCAGCUUGUCAUUACAGAAGCUGCAAUAUGCAAAGACAUACUGAACAACAAUGAUGGGGCUGUUCAAAAAGCAGAGACAAUAGGAUAUGUGAAGAAGCUAUUAGGAGAUGGCCUCACAAGAUCCUCAGGUGAAAAAUGGUCCAAGAUGAAAAAGCUGGCCAACCAUGCCUUCCAUGGAGAGAGGUUAAAAGUGAGUUCCUAACGUUAUAUAUUAUUGGUGAUUCUUUCUUCGAGCAUAACAAAUUUAAAGUAGAAUUUUCCGAUUUUGUUCAUCAGAGUAUGAUCCCAGCAAUGAUAGCCAGUGGCGAGACAAUGCUUGAGAGGUUGAAAAACCAUCAAGGCAGAGAGAUUGAAGUUUACGACGAGUUCAGGUUUUUCACUUCAGAAGUGAUUUCCAGAACAGCCUUUGGCAGCAGCUACUUAGAAGGCGAGAACAUUUUUGAAAUGUUGAUGAAGUUAGCCUUCUUGACAUUCAAAAAUACUCACAAAAUUAGGUUUCCAGGUAUCAGGUACGUAACUCAGCCUUGUUAUGCAUAAAACUAAGUUUCCUUCUAAGCUUUGCAGCAAACAACUAUUGAUCACACCAAUGUUCUUUCAUUUUCAAUGUUGCAGUAAGAUCUUUAAAACCAGAGAUGAGAUCGAAUCAGCGGAGCUUGAGAAAGGAAUACGCAACAGCGUAAUGGAGCUUAUUAAGAAAAGAGAAAAGAAGGCAAUGGCUGGAGAAGAAGACGGCUUUGGGAGUGAUUUUCUUGGAUUGCUUUUAGAGGCUCGCCAUGAUACCAAUGAGAAGCAGAGGAUUUCAGUGGACAAUUUGGUCGACGAGUGCAAGACUUUCUACUUGGCUGGACAAGAAACCACUACCAGUUUGCUUGCUUGGACUGUCUUUCUUCUGGCCCUCCAUAGAGAUUGGCAAGAGGAAGCAAGAAAGGAGGUCCUACAACUAUUUGGCAAACAAACUCCAAACCCUGAUGGCAUUGCCAAACUCAAAACAGUAAAUAAGAAAAAUCAAUUCAAUUAUUUGGUUAUCGUAAGUUUGAAAUGCAUGCUGAUUAUUUAUUGUCUAAUUUUAACUUUGAUGCAUGCAAUGCAGAUGAGUAUGAUUAUCAAUGAGUCCCUGAGAUUAUACUCUCCUAUUGUUUCCUUGGAAAGGAAAACUGAGAGGGAAGUUAGACUGGGAAAUCUCAUAGUCCCUGCUAAUGUUGAACUGCUACUCCCAAACCUAGCAUUUCACCUUGAUCCUAAAUUUUGGGGAGAAGACGUGCACCUUUUCAAACCAGAGAGAUUCUCAGAAGGGGUUGCUAAAGCUACCAAGGAUAACAUGGUCGCAUUCCUUCCCUUUGGAAUGGGACCUCGAACUUGUGUGGGCUUCCAUUUUGUAACCAUUGAAGCAAAGAUUGCUCUGUCAAUGAUUCUACAGAACCACUCAUUCACCCUCUCUCCGGCCUACGUCCACUCCCCGUUUCAAUUUCUUACACUUAGGCCACAACAUGGUGUUCGAGUAACGCUACACCCGCUCUGAACUGUGUAGACCACGUGGAUAUGGGUUUGUGAGUUUUAUUUAUGUACGUAGAGUACUGUUAUUGGUACUUCAAUAAAGUAUUUGAGAAAGUAUUUG
rnacentral:lncRNA from 1 species